CACGAACGGGCAGCGAGUACUCAGACAAAUUCCCAAAGUGUAACUGAGUUUGUAUAAGUUGAAGCAUGGAGGGCAACCGCACUGACCUGCAGCCACCACCAGGCUACCCAACGAUUGUGGACUCAGUGCCAAGCUGCGACGACUCGCCACGCCGAGGACGAACAAGACCACGCGGCCGGAAAACUAGUUUUCUCGAUGCAUGUGUUGCCGCACUGUGCUGCUGCUGGCUGUGCGACCUGUGCUGCGUUUAAUUGGAUCGGAGGGCAACGAAACAAGCUCUUUUUGUACGAGCUUAUCCAGAUCAUCCACAUGAUGUUGCGUCAUCUAAAGAGAACGAUGAUUAGUUAUACCGCAAGUUGAUUUGUACUGCAUACUUAUACUACU